rnacentral:rRNA from 1 species
GUACGGGGGGGGGCAAGCGUUGUUCGGAAUUACUGGGCGUAAAGGGCGCGUAGGCGGCCUUCUAAGUCAGACGUGGAAUCCCUCGGCUCAACCGAGGAACUGCAUCCGAUACUGGCGGGCUUGAAUCCGGGAGAGGGAUGUGGAAUUCCAGGUGUAGCGGUGAAAUGCGUAGAUAUUCGCAAGAACACCAGUGGCGAAGGCGGCUCACUGGCCCGAUACUGACGCUGAGGCACGAAAGCGUGGGGAGCAAACAGG